CAGAAAAUAGUUUAGUUUAGAAUUCUAGCUUUGGGAGUUAGAGGUGGGAGUUGAAAU
rnacentral:tRNA from 1 species